rnacentral:piRNA from 1 species
UAAAUUGUUGGGCAGUUGUGAUAACUGU